GACCACGUAGCUCAGUUGGCAGAGCAUUGGGCUAGUAUCCAAAGGUGGUAAGACCUGACCGCUAGCUCAGUCAGUAGAGCAUUGGGCUAUAGUAUCCAAAGGUCGUAGGUUCGAUUCCCACCGUGGCCA